AUAUCGCAGAAAAGAAAUCGAAAUAGACACUACGAACAGCGGAAGAGAAACCUGAACAUUUACAUUGACAAUUUACACCUGUGGAAACACAUAGCAGCUUGGAUGUAGAGGUAAUGUGGAAAUGCGAGUGGGGAAACGCGCAAACCUUUUUUUCGCACGGUACCACCUCCGCCCGAGGCGUUUGCAUUCUGUUGUCGCCACAACAGAAUUGCGGACUGUACAUCAUACAGAGAGCGAUACUGAAGGAAUAUUCCUGAUCGCCUCAAUUUCGGCAGGACCAAAACGGCUUACACUGGCAAAUGUAUACGGACCAAACUCCGAUAACCAAAUUUUUUUUUGAUUCGUUUUUUGGGAUAAUAAACGACUAUUUAGAUAACGACGCUAUAAUAGGAGGAGAUUUUAACGCAGUUAUGUCAAAUGAUCUAGACAAAUCACCGGGCAACAAACACGCAAAUGCAGUUCGGAAAUUAAGAACUAUAUGAAAGAGUUCGAUCUGUUUGAUAUAUUUAGGGAAUUAAACCCGAGGCAGCGGAGAUUUUCCCGCGUCCAACAAAAUCCGUUCACCGGAAGUCGCAUCGAUUUUUUUCUUGUUUCAGAAGGUCUAACACCACAUAUAAAAACUGUGAUAUAGAACCCAGUAUUAAAUCGGAUCACAGACUUGUUGUUUUAAACAUAAGCCCGGAGUUUAAAGCAAACGGCCCAGGGUAUUGGAAACUAAAUAACAGCCUUUUAGACGACCCCCAAUUCAUAAAUCACUUGAAAUCCGAAAUCCGCGCUUUCCUAACGAUCAAUGAAACUCUCAGAUGUAUCACCGCAUAUAAUCUGGGAUAGUAUAAAGUGCUGGUUGCGAGGGAAAUUUAUUAAACAUGCCGCCGAGAAAAGAACAUCGCAAACCAAAGAAAUAGAUCGAAUAGAAAAAUUAGCAACCCAGCGGCGCAUUGAUACGAUAUUGGAAGGCAAAACGAGGGCAGCUAUCGUGCUUAGCCGAACAAACUAGGCCGAAAACGGGGAAAAAAUACAAAAUAUUUUUUAAGCCUGGAAAAGAGAAA